rnacentral:rRNA from 1 species
GGCAAAGGGUGAGAGCGUGCCUUUUGCAUAAUGAGCCUGCGAGUUGUCCUACGUAGCAAGGUUAAGCCGAGAGGUGUAGCCGCAGCGAAAGCGAGUCUGAUAAGGGCGCUUAGUUGCGUGGGGCAGACCCGAAACCGUGUGAUCUACCCAUGGUCAGGUUGAAGCGCGAGUAACAUCGCGUGGAGGACCGAACUCGACUAAGGUUGAAAACUUAGGGGAUGAACUGUGGGUAGGGGUGAAAGGCCAAUCAAACUCGGAAAUAGCUGGUUCUCCCCGAAAUAUAUUUAAGGUAUAGCCUCGGGCGUUCUCUGUUGGAGGUAGAGCACUGAAUGGGGCUAGGGGGCCUCACCAGGUUACCGACCCCAAUCAAACUCCGAAUGCCAUCAAGAGUAGCCCGGGAGUCAGACUGCGAGUGAUAACAUUCGUAGUCAAAAGGGAACAACCAG